rnacentral:lncRNA from 1 species
UCGAUUUCACAUUAGAAUCAAGAAUUGAGUUCAAGAAUCUUACCACCAGGUGAUUCCCCUUGAAUCCCUCUUCAAUCCUCUUAAAAAAGCUUCAAAAUCGACCAACAAUGGAGGAACUUAGCUUCAAAUUCGCAAAAAUGAGCUUUUAAAACAUUCUUCCCAACUCUUAUUUUUACUUAAUCACGAUCGCAGAAACACAUUAGGAUUGUGAAGCAAUGACCAAUAUCCACUAUCCGCGAUCCUGUGUAUCCUCAAGUGAACGCGAUGCCCAAAAUCUUCCAACUACUCGAUCGCAAAUGAGACCACGCGACCACGAUACACGGAAACAUAAAGCUAUGAGAUCGUAGCUCCAUCUACGCGAACGCGAAGAGAAACCUGGAUGCCCAUUGAGAUAACUCUACGCGAUCAUGAACCUUCUCACAUGACCGCAAUGAAGAAAAACCUUCAACAGAACUGAAGCCAAAACCUGCAACUUUGAAUAUAAAAAUUUGAUCCGUUUAACCACCCGAAACUCACUCGAGGCCCUCGGGACCUCAACCAAAGGCACUAAAAUAACCCAUAUCAUCAUUCAAACUUGUUCCGGCCUUCGGAAUGCAUAAACAAUCAUUAAAACACCGAAUCUCAUCGAAUUAAAGCCUAAGAAUUUCAAGAACUUCCAAAUUACACUUUUGAUUAAAAACCCAAUCAAACCACGUCCGAAUGACUUGAUAUUUUUGGCACACAUCCCAAAUGACAUGAUAGAACUUCUUCAACUUUCGGAAUUUCAUUCCGACCUCUAUAUCAAAAUCUCACCUAUCAACUAAAAACGUCGAAAUCUCAAUCUCGCCAAUUCAAACCUAAACCUUCCACAUACCUCCAAAAUACAUUCCGAUCACGUAUCUAAGUCACAAAUCACCUGACAAAGCUAACCAAAUCAUAAAAAAUCUGAUCCAAGAUCAUAUACAAACAAAUCAAAUCUUGGUCAAACCUUUCAAAUUUCAUGCUUCAACUGAAAACUGUUCUUCCAAAUUCAUUCCGAUUACUUGGAAAACCAAACCAACAAAUUACAUUAGUCAUAAUACAUCACACAGGACAAGUCAUGCCUGAGAACUAGCGAUCAAAGUGCAAAAACUCAAAACAAUCGGCCGACUCGUUACAAUAGCAUACUUAUAUACUAUACCAGUAUCAUAUUUUACAUUUAAAAAAUACACACAAAUCAGAACAAUUUUAUACUCGCGUAGUAUACUAAUUAGCAUACUUAUAUACUAUAUCCAUAUUAUCUUUUGCUGAUAAAAAAACACAAACACAAACCAAUACAAUUCUAUACUUACAUAGUGUACUGAUAUAACAUAGUGAUAUACUACAUUGGCAACAUGUUUUAGUGAUAAAGAACACACACAAGAACCAGUACAAUUCUAUACUCACAUAGUAUACCGAUAUAAAAUCAUGAUGUACUAUAUAGGUAUCACAUUGUUUUUUAUUUGAAAAAUGCAGAUGAACCUUCUUGGGCAUGUUCU